UACUAGAGUAGCACUCGCAUAUCAAUAAGCGGAGGAAAAGAAACUAACAAGGAUUCCCCUAGUAACGGCGAGUGAAGCGGGAAGAGCUCAAAUUUGAAAUCUUAAAGGGUUUCCCUUUACGAAUUGUAGUUUAAAGAAGUGUUUUCUGUUGAGGUUUUGGUAAAAGUUCUUUGGAAUAGGACAUCAUAGAGGGUGAGAAUCCCGUAUUUGACCUUUACUUUCAACUUUGUGAUACACUUUCAAAGAGUCGGAUUGUUUGGGAAUGCAGUCCAAAAUGGGUGGUAAAUUUCAUCUAAAGCUAAAUAUUGGCGAGAGACCGAUAGCGAACAAGUACCGUGAGGGAAAGAUGAAAAGAACUUUGAAAAGAGAGUUAAACAGUACGUGAAAUUGUCAAAAGGGAAGCGUUUGACACCAGUGUUGUUUUUCUGAAAAUCAAUUAAAGAACUGUUUAUGCUAAGCUGUUUAGACUUUAUCAGCUAUCUGUUUAGUUUUGAGCUUUUCUUUAAUGCACUUUUCAGUUAACAAGUCAACAUCAAUUUCUUUUGCUGUAAAAAAGCUUGAGGAAGGUGGCUUGAGAUUCGUCUUAAGUGUUUAUAGCCUCUUGCCUAUGCAGUCGGAGAGACUGAGGUCUGCAGCGUAGAUCCUUCGGGGCUAAAUGCAUUUGUGCUAAGUUAUAGCAUUUUAUAGACAACUUGUUGACUAUGAUUUGUCUUGUAGCUUACUCGCUUAUGUUAUUUUACCUACGCUUAGGAUGUUGAACUACUGAGACAUAGA
rnacentral:rRNA from 1 species